rnacentral:rRNA from 1 species
AUUGAACGCUGGCGGAAUGCUUUACACAUGCAAGUCGAACGGCAGCACGGACUUCGGUCUGGUGGCGAGUGGCGAACGGGUGAGUAAUAUAUCGGAACGUAUCCAAUAAUGGGGGAUAACUAAUCGAAAGGUUGGCUAAUACCGCAUACGUCCUACGGGAGAAAGCUAGGGACCUUCGGGCCUGGCGUUAAUGGAGCGGCCGAUAUCGGAUUAGCUAGUUGGUGAGGUAAAGGCUCACCAAGGCGACGAUCCGUAGCUGGUCUGAGAGGACGACCAGCCACACUGGAACUGAGGCACGGUCCAGACUCCUACGGGAGGCAGCAGUGGGGAAUUUUGGACAAUGGGCGAAAGCCUGAUCCAGCCAUUCCGCGUGAGUGAAGAAGGCCUUCGGGCUGUAAAGCUCUUUCGCAAGAGAAGAAAACUUACCCUCUAACAUAGGGUGAGGUUGACGGUAUCUUGAUAAGAAGCACCGGCUAACUACGUGCCAGCCGCCGCAGUAA